CUACCUGCCACUGCCAGGUGGCUAGCCUGGCCAUCUGCCCACUCUCCUCACUGCAGAGCCCUCUGCACCCUCAGCCCUGGGGCGGGGGGUGGUAGCCCUCUGCCCAACCCCCACCUCCACUGGGAGUAUCUCCCUCCUCCAUUUAUGGCUACUUUUUUUCAAACCAAAAUGUAGCCUGUCAAGGAUUUUGUUUUCUUACUUGCAAAUUGAAAGGAAAAUUCUUACCAAGCUAUAAAAAUCAAUUCGCCUUAAUUACAGUGCACUUUUAAUUCACCACCAUCAUAAGAAAGAAGCAACUGUGUCGUGGACUUUGCUGGAUCAGAAUGAGGGUCACGGCUGCUGGUGCAAUGCCAUACCUGGCAAUAUGGCCCCAUCCUGGUGACAGAUUGUGAGAUAGGUUCUGGCCCCACUCGAAGAGGAGGAAGAGCUUAAGUGCUUGCCAGGGCCAGAGAUCUGGAAUGAGAGGAGAAGGGGUCUCCAUAAUUGUGUACCAGAUGUCAUUGAGGACUGAGACGUGCCAAAGUGGGGGAAGGCAUGGAAAAACCACUAAGAAAUCAGGACAGAUGAAAGAACUACAUGUGAAGGAAAGACAGAGACCCAAAGCAUGGGGACAGCAGCUAUAGCACUGGGGAGCCUUAGCCUAUUCUGGUGACAUCAGAAGUCUGGCACCACUCGGGUCAACCAAUGCCCUUCUACCCAAAAUAUCAUUGUUCCUUAUUAACAUCUCCUUUUAGAUCAUUCUCCUAACUAUCAACUCCAGGGAGGAAGGCUCUGCAUUAGUUCUGCCAUUUUGCUGGUGAAUGGUAACUUUAUGUCCCUCCCGGCUGACCUCCGUCUUCACAGGCAGGAGAAGUAUGGAGCCUGCAGGGGCUGGUCCCAGCCCCACAUUUUGGUGGAGCCCUAUCUCUGCCUCUUUCCCCACUGGGUGGGAUGAGGGGAGGCAGAGCUGCCCGAGCCAGGUCAAAGAGGAUGGCUCUCAACGGGACAAGAGGUGCCCCUGGUCACCAGGAAGCAGCCCAACCUUCUUGGCCAGGCACCCUCAUCUGCACUUGCCAGCCACACUUCCCAGGCCAAGGCCACUGGCUUGGACCCAUUGUCCAGGAGAACUGGCACCUUGGAAACCAACCCUCACGCUCUCAGAGAAAGAUGAGCCUCAUCUCCAGGACCUGUGCCCAAGGAGCCCACUUCAUUUAGCGGAUGCCAUGUUGUGCUGGUAUCGUGCCUGGACCCAGCCUCCACCAUCAGACUGAGAGGUCCCUAAAGACAAGCUGUGGAUCUGUCUUCCCUCUACUUGUAUAAAGUCAUUCCCAAGACUGUUUCUUACUUAUUAUUUUCUUUGCAAUACACUACCAUCCUCCUGACCCCCCCCAAAAUGAAUUGAUACUCUCUCUCCCACGCAGUCACCUGUCUACCUUCAAUUCCCUCCAUAGACUGACAGAGAUUCACUAUGUGCCUUCUAUUCCACGAAGGAUCUGAGUCUCCCCAUUUCCCAGACGAAGAAAGCAAGUCUCUGAGAGGUUGGGUGACUUGCCUGUCAGGAAAUACUUGGUCCUAGACCUCUGGCCUCCCCGUCUGGGGUCCUUUCCCGCAGACAACCUCGCCAUGGCCUCCUGGUGUUCACCCCAAGUAAUAUCCAGGAGCUGGGACAGGAACUGGGACAAAGAGGAGGACACUGGGGCCUGGGUCUUGACCCCAAGUUCCUAUUUAUAAUCCUUAUUCCGGAGACGGCCACUUAAACACACAUUCCUGAUAACUGAAUAAUCUUUGGCACCGAGCAAAAAAUAGCCUGUGGCCCAGACCACAAUUGCACAGCUGGAGCAGGGUGAGCAGGGGCGACGUGGGGCUGGAUGGUGCAGGACGGGCUACGGGCCGGGCCUGGGACAAGUGAGUGGGACUGCAAAUAUAGCCAGUUAAAUAUAGCCUGCCGACCUGGACACGGGGCCAGCCUCCUCUGUAGGGAACGUUUCCCAAAUCGGCUUGGAUCUCCUUUUCCCAAAGGAAGGGAGAACCAAAGGCCUGGAGAGGAGGGGCUGGAGGAGCCCUGACAGCUCUGGAGAAAUCUGCAAACAGACGGGACCAAGAGCAGCAGCCCUGCUGGUAUCUUCUGGAAGUGCCAAUCUGACGGGGGAGGAGGAACCAUGCCCUGAGGCAGAUAACAGACGUUCUUAUGCCCCAAACUGGCUGGUCAAGACCCCACGCAGCUUCCAACUCCAGGAGGACAGAUGCUGAGGCCUCUUCUUCAAGAAGCCUCAGGCCAGGGCAGAAAAGGAAGGGAGAGACAUGGAACGUUCUGGAGUCCAGAGCCCUGAGGGAACUCGGAAGCAAGCAGGGGGCCUCCUUCAGAUGGGGGGCCUCAGAGAGAAUAGCCAUGGAGCCUCCUUCCUCAGCGUCCCCCUAGAGCAGGAUCCUGGACCAGCAGGCCCCAGGUUGAUGCCAAGGUGUUGCGAAGGCGGACAUUCUUGGCAAAUAUUUCUCUGCUCCCGAUGCUUCCCUCCCACCACCCACCAGAUGCUCCGCUGACAUUCUGGGAGGGCCAGCAGUGGCUUACUCAGUUGAGGAUAAACCUCCUCACCCAUCCGCUACGGGACACCACACAAAGGCAUCUUGCCUCAGCGCCUCUGCUGCCACUGUCCCCUGAAAACUGCCUCCAUGCCCUGGUGUCCCCAAGGUCACCAAGCCUGCAGAAAGCCAAACUCUACUCCUUUCCUUCCAAUCCUCCUGGGCUAUGAGUCAUCAGAGCCCCACAGAGAAACAAGGAGAACAUUCCUAUCCCCCUUACUGGGCCAUGGGUCCCCAGGUGUCACUGCCUGUGCCCCAAGUCCCACAAAGUUCAGCAGUUUCUCUCUGUCAAGGGUAAGCCCCACACUGAGCACACUGCUUGUCCCCUCUUCAACAGCCUUCCAAUUGGGGGCAGUCCCCCUUGGGUGUGGGAAGGAAUGCCACACUCCCCACUUCAGAAGGGGAGGGUGCCAGGGACAGGUCCUCCGUGCAGCUCAGCAGGGAGUACAUCAAGAGGGACCCCUCAGCCCCCGGGCUGCAGCCAUCAGGUGAUCUACAACGGUGUGGGAAAGUGGUUGGUCAUGCAGGCCUGGUGCAGCCAAAUCUGGGAUCCCAGGGUGGGACACAGGCCCUUCAUUUCACAAAGAUGCCCCAGAGCCCACCGUUUGCCAGGUGGUUUGCUCGUCACCAUGGGUACCAGGGAGCAUGAGGCCCAGGAGCUGCUCCGGCAGCUGCUCGCAGUCAGCUGUGCUGAGAGGGAUGACGGAGGAUGGCAGAAAACUGAGCCAGUGGGGACAGGUAGCAGGAUGGCCUCUGAAGGCCAGGGAGGCAGAGGAGACAAAGGAUUCCAGACAGGGACCUGUGCGUUAAAGGCCCAGAGUGAGAGGAGGAGAGGCUGUUUAGGGAUGCGAGUGGAAGAGGAGCUGUGUGGUUGGUGCUGAGACAGAUGGAGGAUGCAGGAUGAGGCUGGAGGAGGGAGAGGGGGCCAGAUCAAGCCUUGGACUUCAUGGACAGGGGAAUCCUCCUGCGGGGGCGGGGGGGGGGGGUUCACAGGGAACCAUGGAAGAGUUUUCAGAGGGGGUUACCCCCUGAUCUGUUUCAAAGUCAGAAGGGUCCUUUGGCCACAGUAUGGAGAGUGGGUGGAAGGAGGCCUGGACGGGAUGUGGGCAGACCAGUUAGGAGGCACAGGCAGAUGCCCAGGGAAGCCACGGUGGUAGCCGGAACCCAGGCGAUGGGGGCAGGGAGUAAAGAGAGCUGGGCAGUCCUGAGAUGUAUUUAGGAAAUAAAAACGUUAAGAUGUGAUGAGCAUGCAGAUGUGGGAGAGGAAAGAUGGAGAGAAGCAGAACAUUCACCCAUUCAUUCAUUCCUUCCUUCCUACAUUCGUUUAGCAGCUAUACCGCGAACUUCUAGCCCGUGGGAAGUUCUUUGCUCAGCACUAGAAAUACAGGAGUGAGCGAGAUAAGGGGGCCUCUGCUCUCAGGGUUUAUACAGCAGGGGCAUAGGGAGGACGUAAAAUAAAUACAUAAACAGAUUCAACAUUGCUCUAGGUAGUGGCAAAUGCUCUGAAGGUAAUAAAACAGGAUAAAUAAUAGAGUGGCUUGGGGAAAGGGCCUGCCUUCGAUGGGAUGUUCUUAGAAGCCAUUUCCAGAGAAGAGAAUUGAAAGGCAAAGGCUGAGUGGGGAAGAACUUGCUGUUUUUGAGGAACAGAGGAAAGACCUAGGGUGGAGUGAAUGAAAAGAAGCUUGGAGAAAAAUGGGAUUCUGGACGCUUAGGCCGCAGCCAGAUCCUGCAGGCUGUGGUGAGGCAUCUCAAGUUUAUUCUAAAUGAAAUCAGGAGUCACUGAGGAAUUUUAAUUAAACAGGGGAGGGACGUUAAUGAUUUUAGCUUUUUUGAAAGAUUGUUUCAGCUGUUUUAGGAGAAAACAGUAUUAGUUUUCGAGGGAUGGUGUAGCGAAAAGACACAAACUAUCUGCCUAAAACAAUAUUGAUUGUCUCACAGUACUGGAGGCUCGAAGUCCAAGAUCAAGGUGUUGGCAUGGCUGGUUGCUUCUGAGGGCUUGAGGGAGACUCUGUUCCAUGACUCUUUCCUAGAUCCUAGUGGGUUACUGGUAAUUUCGGGCUUUUCUUUAUUGUAGAAACCUCACCCCAACCUCUGCCUUCAUUUCCACACACAGUCUCCCUGUGUGUCCUGAUUUCCCUUUCAUUAAGGACACCAAUCAUACUGGGUUAGGGCCCACCCUAGUGACCUCAUCGUACUAAUUAAUUACAUCUGCAAAGACUCUACUUCCAAAUAAGGGCUCAUUCUGAGGUACUGGAGUUAGGAGUUCAACGUAUGAAUUUGGAGGGGGACACAAUUCAACCCCUAAGAGUGGCGUGGCAUCCUAUGCUUGGUAAGUAUCCUUGGAUACCAGGGAUCUUAGGUAGUUAUACUGUUGAGUAUCCAGCGAAGAACUAGUUGGGGGUGAUGGUCUUUGUUGAGAUGUUAAUACUGAAGAGGAGCCAGUGUGGGAGGAAAUGACAAGCUCACCUUUGAAUAUGAUGAUUUUGAGGUGAUUCCAGAGGAAUAUCCAGUAAAUAACUGGACAUAAUGCUACAGGGCACAGGAGAGGAGUUGGGGCUAGAGAUGUGGAUUUGGGAGCCAUGUGUAUCCCAGGAAGUAAAGUCAAGGAAAUAGGUGAGGUCAUUGGGAAGCAUGUAGAGGAAAAACAAAACCAAUACUUGGGGGCUCUAUCUACCCUAAAGAACACUGACAUUUGGAGUUCCCAUCGUGGCACAGCGGAAACAAAUCUGACUAGGAACCAUGAGGUUGCAGAUUCGAUCCAUGGCCUCGCUCUUGUGGGUUAAGGAUCCAGCGUUGCCAUGAGCUGUGGUGUAGGUCGCAGACGCAGCUUGGAUCCUGCAUUGCUGUGGCUGUGGUGUAGGCCAGUGGCUACAGCUGUGAUUCGACCCCUAGCCUGGGAACCUCCAUAUGCUACAGGUGCAGCCCUAAAAAGACAAAAGCCAAAAAAAAAAAAAAAAAAAAAAAAAAAAA
rnacentral:lncRNA from 1 species